rnacentral:lncRNA from 1 species
AUUUAAUAUUUUACAAUAUUACUUACCAAUUCUUUAAAUAUUUUCCAAUGUUGAAGUAAAAAAUUUUAGGAUAGUUUUUUAUAACCAACGAGAACAUAGCAAACCAAAUUGCUCUGUUAUACCCAACAAACACACAAUAAAACCAAACCAAAAACCUAAAUUAUCACCAGAGAGCAACAUACUACCAAAAAAAAAAACGACAUAUUACCAAGAAAAAAAAGCCUUCAACACAAAUUUUUUUAGUUAAACCCGAGAAAA